AUGGCCUGGAUCCGCCAGAGACCCGGGCAGGCGCUGGAGUUCAUUGCAGAUAUCAGCACCACUGGCAGCACCAGCUACGCGGAUUCGGUCAAGGGCCGGUUCACGAUGUCCAAGGACACCGGGCAGAACUCGGCGGCCGUGACCCUGCUGGAGUGUGGGGGGGACCUCCAGCCCCCCGGUGGGUCCCUGCGCCUCCUCUGCCGAGGGGGCGGGUUUGAUUUUGGGAGUUUCGCCAUGAACUGGGUCCUCCAGAGACCCGGGCAGGGGCUGGAGUGGGUCGCGGGGAUCAGCCGCCGUGGUUCUUGCACCGAGUACGCGCCAUUGGUCAAGGGCCGGUUCAGGAUCUCCAGGGACAACGGGAAGAGCUCGGUGACGCUGACCAUGAAAAACCUCAAGGACGAGGAUUCCGGAUCCUAUUUCUGCGCCAAA